ACGGCUUGAAAGUUCUAAAAUAAACAAGAGUCUUAACAUGACUUUGCUAGCUAUAACAAAUUUGGCGCUUUCCAAAAUGUUUACCCAUCUUUCUACUUGUUAUGUAAAACCUGAAAACAAAACUGGAAAAAAAGUAUCAGUUUAAUUAAGAAAAUAGUGUUAUGUAGAUAUGAUCUUCCACACUAAAUAUGUUGCAUAUAUCAAUCUUUGUAUAGAGAAUAUGUCAACCAAUAUGUAGAUGGAAAUUUUAGAUCCAAAUACAAAAAUAAAAGAAAAAGAAGGCAGAGAAUAAUCUCACCUUAGCAAAGCAAAAAAGCGAUAAUAGCAUCGAAGGGAAGUUCAUUUUUAUUUGGUCCACUUAUUUUUUGAGGCAAAUUAUAGGAUAUACCUUCAUAUAUCAUAAACAAUAUAUUUGCAUCGAAAAGUCAUAGUAUCACUAUUAUGGAAAAACAUGAUCAUACAAAAUGAGUGUAGCGGUAAAAUAUGGAAAAAUAUAUUGCAAAC
rnacentral:lncRNA from 1 species